UACGUAGGGUGCAAGCGUUGUCCGGAUUUAUUGGGUUUAAAGGGUGCGUAGGCGGCCCUGUAAGUCAGUGGUGAAAUACUCUAGCUUAACUAGAGGGGUGCCAAUGAUACUGCAGGGCUUGAGUACAGAUGAGGUAGGCGGAAUUGACGGUGUAGCGGUGAAAUGCAUAGAUAUCGUCAAGAACACCGAUAGCGAAGGCAGCUUACUGGGCUGUAACUGACGCUGAUGCACGAAAGUGUGGGGAUCAAACAGG
rnacentral:rRNA from 1 species